CUGCUGGAGUUGUAGGAGGCUGGCUGACAGAACCCAGGGAGAACCCAGAACCCUGAGCUGGUUGCUGUGACUCAAUUAGGACAAGACCCUGAGGAGUAAGGGGAGUUCCCAUCAACUUUGGGAGAUGGUGCAGAGAAGUGUUAUGGGCAGCCACCGAGGAUGUACACAAGUUAGGAACAG